rnacentral:rRNA from 1 species
GUCCAGACUCCUACGGGAGGCAGCAGUGGGGAAUAUUGCACAAUGGGGGGAAACCUGAUGCAGCGACGCCGCGUGAGUGAAGAAGUAUUUCGGUAUGUAAAGCUCUAUCAGCAGGGAAGAUAAUGACGGUACCUGACUAAGAAGCCCCGGCUAACUACGUGCCAGCAGCCGCGGUAAUACGUAGGGGGCAAGCGUUAUCCGGAUUUACUGGGUGUAAAGGGUGCGUAGGUGGCAGGGCAAGUCAGAUGUGAAAGCCCGGGGCCCAACCCCGGUACUGCAUUUGAAACUGUCCGGCUGGAGUGCAGGAGAGGUAAGCGGAAUUCCUAGUGUAGCGGUGAAAUGCGUAGAUAUUAGGAGGAACACCAGUGGCGAAGGCGGCUUACUGGACUGUAACUGACACUGAGGCACGAAAGCGUGGGGAGCAAACAGGAUUAGAUACCCUCGUAU